GUUAACCAUACACGGCGUAAAAGAGUGGGCUAAAACUAUCACACCGAACUAAGAUCAAACCAUGCCCCAAGCCGUCAUAAGCUUAAGGCACCCCUAAGCCCAACCUGAAGACGAUCUUAACAGCCGCGACCCAUUCCACCCCACAAAGCCAGGACACAAACUGGGAUUAGAUACCCCACUAUGCCUAGCCCUAAAUCUUGAUGCCCUCCAACCACGAACAUCCGCCCGAGAACUACGAGCACAAACGCUUAAAACUCUAAGGACUUGGCGGUGCUCUAAACCCACCUAGAGGAGCCUGUUCUAUAAUCGAUAACCCACGAUUCACCCGACCAUUUCUCGCCAACACAGCCUAUAUACCGCCGUCGCCAGCCCACCUCAUGAGAGCACAACAGUGAGCCCAACAGCCCACAACCCGCUAACAAGACAGGUCAAGGUAUAGCCUAUGAAAUGGAAGAAAUGGGCUACAUUUUCUAAAGUAGAACAACCCCAACGGAAGGGGGCCUGAAACCUGCCCCCAGAAGGCGGAUUUAGCAGUAAAGCAGGACAACCAAGCCUCCUUUAAACUGGUCCUAGAGCACGUACACACCGCCCGUCACCCUCUCACAGGCCACAAUACACUACUAUAAACCAACGCG
rnacentral:rRNA from 1 species